GCCGGUGUAGCUCAGCUGGUAGAGCAGCUGACUUGUAAUCAGCAGGUCCCCGGUUCGAGUCCGGGUGCCGGCU
rnacentral:tRNA from 1 species